rnacentral:tRNA from 1 species
UUAAUUAAAGCUUUAGAGAAGCGUUCCAUUGUUACUGGAGAGAAGGGGAGCCCUAAUUAGA